GACUUUGUCUAGCGAGAAAAGUAUGAAAAGAUAUUUAAGAUCAUCAAUCAAAUUGUCCAGUUGGAACAUGGAGAUUGGGUAACAUAGCACAAAUGUUUUAUUCUUCUAUGAAGACCACGAAUAAUUUAUAUCUAAUAUUUUUUUUACAGUCGUGAUUUUAACGCACUUAUAUUUACACACCGCUUAGAAAUGAAGAAAAGAUUUACACAACUGCGUAAGGUCCAUUUAAAUUAAAG
rnacentral:lncRNA from 1 species